rnacentral:lncRNA from 1 species
GGAGGCAAGCUAGUAAGGAACAUCCCUCCAUGGCUUCUGCAUCAGCUCCUGCUUCCUGACCUGCCUGAGUUCCAGUCCUGACUUCCUUUGGUGAUGAACAGCAGCAUGGAAGUGUAAGCCGAAUAAACCCUUUCCUCCCCAGCUUGCUUCUUGGUCAUGAUGUUUGUGCAGGAAUAGAGACCCUGACUAAGACAAAUUGGUACCAGCAGAGUGGGGUAUUCCUGCGACAACCUGACCAUGUUUUGGGGAGGUCUGUGGAAGGACUUUGGAACUUUGGGCUUGAAGAUCUAUUCGUUGUUAAGAGCUCUGUCAGAUGUUUUGUAGGAGCUUGGAAGAUAAUGUUGAGCACAGUGCAGAAGAUGGAGGCCUGGCUUGUGAAAUUUCAGAGGGAAAAUUAAAGACUCUUUUCAGGGUCAUUGCUGUUUUGAUUGUGAAGAUUCUGUAGUUCUGGUUAGCUGGGGCUGAAGAAUCAGCUGUGAUUAACAAGAUACCAGAACUACUAAAGCAAAAACUUUGCAUUACUGGGACUAUUGAUGCUGGUUAGCUGGAGCUAAGAAAUUAGCGGUGAUUAAGAAGAGACCAGCAUCAUUGAGGUGACAUCUUCUGGGAAGUGUUUUCUGAGAGCACAGUGGCUGUGUUCCAGAUAUAGCCAAAGUUGUACCUUGUGCUGUGGCUGGACUUGGUAAUGUGUAAGGGUCACCCAGGUGGUACUGGUUUUGAAGGCAUGAAGGAGUUGAGCAGAGCAGCUAAGGCUUGGCACUGUGAGAAGCCAUGGAAGGCCAUUGGUGAAAGUGCAGCCUCAGUUGCAAUUGAUGGCCCAGGACUGAAGGGGUCAUGCAGUGUUUUGGAGAUGCCAGUACCAUGAGAUGACCACCAAGAGCAGCAGCAGCAGUGGAGUACAGGCAUCUGGAGCCUAGAGGAUGACGCGUGUGCUACAAAGGGCAUGGCUGGAGAAGUGACCCAAGCCCUUGGAGGAGCCCAGAAGAUCGUAAGUUGGAUCCCAGACAUUGGACAGUUGGAGAUUGACUUUUGCUUUUGAUUGUGACUGUGCCCUGAUAUUUUCCCUCUUGAAGGAAGAAACUGUUUUAGUGGAGCCCACAGUUAAGAGAUUUUUAAUUGUAAAAAGACUUUGGAUUUUAAAAGAGAUGGAUAUUUUAAAGAGAUUGAAAAUUUAAGAAUAUGUAAAGACUGUGGGACUUUUAAAGUUAUUUAGAUCUUGGGGAUGAAUAAGAAUGUAAGGGUUGAGGCUUACUAGUGAUGUGUUUGUGUGUCAAGUUGACAAGGGGUCAAUUGUACUGGCUAGUUUUGUCAACUUGACACAGCUGGGGUUAUCACAGAGAAAGGAGCUUCAGUUGAGGAAAUGCCUCCAUGAGAUCCAACUCUAAGGCAUUUUCUCAAUUAGUGAUCAAGUGGGAAAGGCCCCUUGUGGGUGGGACCAUCUCUGGGCUGGUAGUCUUGGGUUCUAUAAGAGAGCAGGCUGAGCAAGCCAGGGGAGGCAAGCUAGUAAGGAACAUCCCUCCAUGGCUUCUGCAUCAGCUCCUGCUUCCUGACCUGCCUGAGUUCCAGUCCUGACUUCCUUUGGUGAUGAACAGCAGCAUGGAAGUGUAAGCCGAAUAAACCCUUUCCUCCCC